UACAGAGGUCCCAAGCGUUGUUCGGAAUUACUGGGCGUAAAGGGCGCGCAGGCGGCUCUGAAAGUCAGAUGUGAAAGCCCCGGGCUUAACCUGGGAACUGCAUUUGAUACUCUGGAGCUUGAGUACGGGAGAGGAUAGUGGAAUUCCCAGUGUAGAGGUGAAAUUCGUAGAUAUUGGGAAGAACACCGGUGGCGAAGGCGGCGACCUGGUCCGAUACUGACGCUGAGGCGCGAAAGCGUGGGGAGCAAACAGG
rnacentral:rRNA from 1 species